UGGGGAAUUUUGGACAAUGGGCGAAAGCCUGAUCCAGCAAUGCCGCGUGUGUGAAGAAGGCCUUCGGGUUGUAAAGCACUUUUGUCCGGAAAGAAAUGGCUCUGGUUAAUACCUGGGGUCGAUGACGGUACCGGAAGAAUAAGGACCGGCUAACUACGUGCCAGCAGCCGCGGUAAUACGUAGGGUCCAAGCGUUAAUCGGAAUUACUGGGCGUAAAGCGUGCGCAGGCGGUUGUGCAAGACCGAUGUGAAAUCCCCGAGCUUAACUUGGGAAUUGCAUUGGUGACUGCACGGCUAGAGUGUGUCAGAGGGGGGUAGAAUUCCACGUGUAGCAGUGAAAUGCGUAGAGAUGUGGAGGAAUACCGAUGGGCGAAGGCAGCCCCCUGGGAUAACACUGACGCUCAUGCACGAAAGCGUGGGGAGCAAACAGGAUUAGAUACCCUGGUAGUCCACGCCCUAAACGAUGUCAACUAGUUGUUGGGGAUUCAUUUCCUUAGUAACGUAGCUAACGCGUGAAGUUGACCGCCUGGGGAGUACGGUCGCAAGAUUAAAAGCU
rnacentral:rRNA from 1 species